rnacentral:rRNA from 1 species
AGCGCAGGCGGGCGAUCAAGUUGGAAGUGAAAUCCAUGGGCUCAACCCAUGAACUGCUUUCAAAACUGGUCGUCUUGAGUAGUGCAGAGGUAGGCGGAAUUCCCGGUGUAGCGGUGGAAUGCGUAGAUAUCGGGAGGAACACCAGUGGCGAAGGCGGCCUACUGGGCACCAACUGACGCUGAGGCUCGAAAGUGUGGGUAGCAAAC